CUACGGGGUGCUGCAGUAGGGAAUUUUCGGCAAUGGAGGAAACUCUGACCGAGCAACGCCGCGUGAAUGAAGACAUAUUUCGGUAUGUAAAGUUCUUUUAUUAGGGAAGAGUAGCCCAUGGAAAAAUGGGUGUGACGGUACCUAAUGAAUAAGCCCCGGCUAACUAUGUGCCAGCAGCCGCGGUAAUACAUAGGGGGCAAGCGUUAUCCGGAAUUAUUGGGCGUAAAGGGUGCGUAGGCGGCCAUUUAAGUCUUUGGUAUAAGUGCAGUGCUUAACGCUGUGAUGCUAAGGAAACUGAAUGGCUUGAGUGAGAUAGAGGCAAGUGGAAUUCCAUGUGUAGCGGUAAAAUGCGUAAAUAUAUGGAGGAACACCAGUGGCGAAGGCGGCUUGCUGGGUCUACACUGACGCUGAGGCACGAAAGCGUGGGGAGCAAACAGGAUUAGAUACCCGUGUAGUC
rnacentral:rRNA from 1 species